UACGUAGGGUGCGAGCGUUAAUCGGAAUUACUGGGCGUAAAGCGUGCGCAGGCGGUUUUGUAAGCCAGAUGUGAAAUCCCCGGGCUCAACCUGGGAAUUGCGCUUGUGACUGCAAGGCUAGAGUGCGUCAGAGGGGGGUAGAAUUCCACGUGUAGCAGUGAAAUGCGUAGAGAUGUGGAGGAAUACCGAUGGCGAAGGCAGCCCCCUGGGACGUGACUGACGCUCAUGCACGAAAGCGUGGGGAGCAAACAGG
rnacentral:rRNA from 1 species